rnacentral:rRNA from 1 species
GGCGGCAGGCCUAACACAUGCAAGUCGAGCGCGCCCUUCGGGGUGAGCGGCGGACGGGUUAGUAACGCGUGGGAACGUACCCUUUGGUAGGGAAUAGCCACUGGAAACGGUGAGUAAUACCCUAUGAGCCCUUCGGGGGAAAGAUUUAUCGCCAAAGGAUCGGCCCGCGUUAGAUUAGGUAGUUGGUGGGGUAAUGGCCUACCAAGCCUACGAUCUAUAGCUGGUUUUAGAGGAUGAUCAGCAACACUGGGACUGAGACACGGCCCGGACUCCUACGGGAGGCAGCAGUGGGGAAUCUUGGACAAUGGGGGCAACCCUGAAUCCAGCCAUGCCGCGUGAGUGAAGAAGGCCUUAGGGUCGUAAAGCUCUUUCGCCUGUGAAGAUAAUGACGGUAGCAGGUAAAGAAACCCCGGCUAACUCCGUGCCAGCCGCCGC